UACGUAGGUGGCGAGCGUUGUCCGGAAUUACUGGGUGUAAAGGGCGUGUAGGCGGGAAUGUAAGUCAGUUGUGAAAUCCCAGGGCUUAACCCUGGAGCUGCAUCUGAAACUAUGUUUCUUGAGUGCCGGAGAGGAUAGCGGAAUUCCUAGUGUAGCGGUGAAAUGCGUAGAUAUUAGGAAGAACACCAGUGGCGAAGGCGACUUACUGGACUGUAACUGACGCUGAGGCAUGAAAGCGUGGGGAGCAAACAGG
rnacentral:rRNA from 1 species